GUGUUCCGGGGUCGGUGCAAGUCCGAACCGGCGGUGAGAGUCCGCGACCCGUCCGCAGCCAGCGGACGGUUGACCUGGUGAAAUUCCAGGACCGACGGUGAAAGUCCGGAUGGGAGGAAAC
rnacentral:ncRNA from 1 species